rnacentral:lncRNA from 1 species
AUGGGUACUGCAGUUGGUGAAGCAAGCAUCACUGUGCAGCCACAGGGUAUUUGUGGGAGGAUUCACAACGAGCAGCGAGGGCCUCUAGCAAGCAAGGCUGGGAGAAUUCGAAUCCAGGGAGGAAAGGAGAUUUACUUUGUUCCUGAAGAAACUAUUAAUAGAUGAGGCCUAGAACUACUGCAGCCAUCUUGUCAAGCAGCCAGAGCACGGAGCCGUCAAAGGAGGGAGGGCCACGCAGACAGCCAGAGCCAAAGCACCGCACCCUAUUUCUGGUUUUCCUGCACUGUAAACAAUAAAUUCAUCAUUUAAGAUGCUUUGAUUUGGAUU